AACGCAAAUUGCACUCUCUUCGGAGAGUAUGCCUGUUUGAGGGUCAGUAUUAAUAAAAUCGGCGUGUUGCUUUUUUGUGACGCUCCGGAGUUUGGGUUAUCUUAUAAUGAUACCUUUCGAGGUGUUUUAAGAGGCUUAAAAUUGACAUCUUUUUUGCGCAUUUUAGACAUACAUAAAUUUUUUUAUUUCGUUUAUUCUAAUGCCAAAAUCUAUUAGAUGCGACCAUAUCGUGUGGUUCCGUGUCUAUAAAUUUUUUCAUGAUUUGACCUCAAAUCAGGUAGGAACACCCGCUGAACUUAA
rnacentral:misc_RNA from 1 species